UACGUAGGGUGCGAGCGUUAAUCGGAAUUACUGGGCGUAAAGCGUGCGUAGGCGGUUCCUCAAGUCCGUUGUGAAAGCCCCGGGCUCAACCUGGGAAUGGCAGUGGAAACUAGGGGACUGGAAUCUGGCAGAGGGGGGUGGAAUGCCGCGUGUAGCAGUGAAAUGCGUAGAGAUGCGGCGGAACACCGAUGGCGAAGGCAGCCCCCUGGGCUGAGAUUGACGCUCAGGCACGAAAGCGUGGGGAGCAAACAGGG
rnacentral:rRNA from 1 species